UGGGGAAUAUUGCACAAUGGGCGCAAGCCUGAUGCAGCAAUGCCGCGUGAAGGAGGACGGUCUUCGGAUUGUAAACUUCUGUUCUUAGUGAAGAUAAUGACGGUAGCUAAGGAGCAAGCCACGGCUAACUACGUGCCAGCAGCCGCGGUAAUACGUAGGUGGCAAGCGUUGUCCGGAUUUACUGGGUGUAAAGGGAGCGCAGGCGGGAUACCAAGUCAGUAGUGAAAUCUAUGGGCUCAACCCAUAAACUGCUAUUGAAACUGGCAUUCUUGAGUGGAGUAGAGGUAAGCGGAAUUCCGAGUGUAGCGGUGAAAUGCGUAGAUAUUCGGAGGAACACCAGUGGCGAAGGCGGCUUACUGGGCUCUAACUGACGCUGAGGCUCGAAAGCGUGGGGAGCAAACAGG
rnacentral:rRNA from 1 species